rnacentral:rRNA from 1 species
CGAUAGCGCACAAGUAGAGUGAUCGAAAGAUGAAAAGCACUUUGGAAAGAGAGUCAAAAAGUACGUGAAAUUGUUGAAAGGGAAGCGCUUGCAACCAGACCUGUCCGUAGGCGAUCAACCUCUGUUCUCAGGGGUGCACUCGUCUGCGAUCAGGCCAGCAUCGGUUCGGGCGGCUGGAUAAAGGCCUUGGGAAUGUGGCUCCUCUCGGGGAGUGUUAUAGCCCUCGGUGCAAUGCGGCCAGCCCGGACCGAGGACCGCGCUUCGGCUAGGAUGCUGGCGUAAUGGUUGUAAGCGACCCGUCUUGAAACACGGACCAAGGAGUAUAAUAUUUAUGCAAGUGUUUGGGUGUCAAACCCAUGCGCGCAAUGAAAGUGAACGGAGGUGAGAACCCUGAAGGGCGCAUCAUCGACCGAUCCAGAUGUCUUCGGAUGGAUUUGAGUAUGAGCAUAAAUGUUGUGACCCGAAAGAUGGUGAACUAUGCCUGAAUAGGGUGAAGCCAGAGGAAACUCUGGUGGAGGCUCGCAGCGGUUCUGACGUGCAAAUCGAUCGUCAAAUUUGGGUAUAGGGGUAAGUUUUAUCAUUUCUUUUGUCAAAGCAGUCCGUAUCACAAGAAUUUAAAAGCUAACUGGCUCAUAGGCGAAAGACUAAUCGAACCAUCCGUUACUUUUCGCUUGCUAGGUGGUUAAUAAGCUUUAGGCGGCUGUUCCCAGUCGCCUACGCUGAGUCCUUCGGGGCAACAUCGCUACUUGCAUGAAUCCUUCUCGGGGGUGAUAUGCUGCAGGUGGUCUUCGACGAAGCCCCUGUUCACAGACCAAAUAGCGGUGGCCGUGGUGUGUCUCAUUAGGCCCCCCGGUUUAGAAAUGGCCGAGUUCCGCUCCGAUGAAGAGCGAGCCUCGGGAUGUAGGGCCGACAGCUGUCGA